AUUGAACGCUGGCGGCAGGCUUAACACAUGCAAGUCGAGCGGGGAAAGGUAGCUUGCUACCUGACCUAGCGGCGGACGGGUGAGUAAUGCUUAGGAAUCUGCCUAUUAGUGGGGGACAACGUUCCGAAAGGAACGCUAAUACCGCAUACGUCCUACGGGGGAAAGCAGGGGAUCUUCGGACCUUGCGCUAAUAGAUGAGCCUAAGUCGGAUUAGCUAGUUGGUGGGGUAAAGGCCUACCAAGGCGACGAUCUGUAGCGGGUCUGAGAGGAUGAUCCGCCACACUGGGGCUGAGACACGGCCCAGACUCCUACGGGAGGUAGCAGUGGGGAAUAUUGGACAAUGGGCGCAAGCCUGAUCCAGCCAUGCCACGUGUGUGAAGAAGGCCUUUUGGUCGUAAAGCACUUUAAGCGAGGAGGAGGCUCCUUUAGUUAAUACCUAAAGAGAGUGGACGUUACUCGCAGAAUAAGCACCGGCUAACUCUGUGCCAGCAGCCGCCGUAACAC
rnacentral:rRNA from 1 species